rnacentral:rRNA from 1 species
UACGGAGGGGGCUAGCGUUGUUCGGAAUUACUGGGCGUAAAGCGCACGUAGGCGGCUUUGUAAGUUAGAGGUGAAAGCCCGGGGCUCAACUCCGGAACUGCCUUUAAGACUGCAUCGCUAGAAUUGUGGAGAGGUGAGUGGAAUUCCGAGUGUAGAGGUGAAAUUCGUAGAUAUUCGGAAGAACACCAGUGGCGAAGGCGACUCACUGGACAUAUAUUGACGCUGAGGUGCGAAAGCGUGGGGAGCAAACAGG